rnacentral:rRNA from 1 species
AUUGAACGCUGGCGGCAGGCCUAACACAUGCAAGUCGAGCGGAUGAAGGGAGCUUGCUCCUGGAUUCAGCGGCGGACGGGUGAGUAAUGCCUAGGAAUCUGCCUGGUAGUGGGGGAUAACGUCCGGAAACGGGCGCUAAUACCGCAUACGUCCUGAGGGAGAAAGUGGGGGAUCUUCGGACCUCACGCUAUCAGAUGAGCCUAGGUCGGAUUAGCUAGUUGGUGGGGUAAAGGCCUACCAAGGCGACGAUCCGUAACUGGUCUGAGAGGAUGAUCAGUCACACUGGAACUGAGACACGGUCCAGACUCCUACGGGAGGCAGCAGUGGGGAAUAUUGGACAAUGGGCGAAAGCCUGAUCCAGCCAUGCCGCGUGUGUGAAGAAGGUCUUCGGAUUGUAAAGCACUUUAAGUUGGAAGGAAGGGCAGUAAGUUAAUACCUUGCUGUUUUGACGUUACCAACAGAAUAAGCACCGGCUAACUUCGU